rnacentral:lncRNA from 12 species
CAUGACUUUAGGUCCUCCCGCAUGAAGAUAUUCAAAAGAGACGUUCAUGUCUUCAUAGCUGUUAUUCGCAGACUCUACCAAACAGGUGCUCUGAAGGCAGAGCCCUACCGUCUAGUUGUUUUAACCUGUUCUCCAUCGGCUGGCGUUGGACUUGUGUACGUUCAGGAGGAAAUUCCUCUUCUCUACAGGAUUUCAAGGUGA